AUUUUCGGCCAAAUCCAAAGGGUGGAUUUUUGGGUUCUUGUUUGACUUGUUAAAAGUGUUUGGUUAUAUGUUAUUUCCCUUAAGUUUGAAUAGUUUUGGGAUGUUUUUGGGUGAAAAAUGUUCAUGGAAAUUUUUUGAGUUUUUCAUGAGUGUUCUUCAUUGUUCUUGACAUUUUUGCCAAGAACAAAAAAUUUGGAGUUUUGAUUCAAAGUUUUGAUUUAUUUCAUAAAGUUUAUGUUUUAUAUUUUUCAAAUGUUUAAAUGUGUUAGAUAUUUAUUUAGAAAGGUGUAAGAAAUAAUGGUGGGUGUGUAAGGAUUAAUUCCCUUUCACACACACCACUUGCAUGCUUUAUGUCUAAAACUACAAAUCAACACACACAUCACUCCCUUCUAUCUAAAACCGGCCACCCUAUUAAAAUAGGAUACUUUUGGGGCUUUUAUGCAAUUACAUAAAGUUUUGAGACUUAUGUGUAUUUGCACUUUGGCCCAAAAGUUUACGUUUUUACGUUUAGGUCCAAAAAUGCUAAAGGACAAAUUGUUUUGUUCCUUUAAUGAUGUUUUUCAAAUUAUUGAAUUUUUUGGGUUCUAGAUGUGAUUACAUGAAGUAGUGGACUUUUGUGUUUUUACAAAGUGAUCCCAAAAGUUCAUGUUUUCGCAAUAUAGCCCAAAAAGUUGUGGUAAUUG
rnacentral:lncRNA from 1 species